GUCGGCUGCAGGUCAGAAGCGCCCAUUUGUCAUUUGGACACGGUUCUCUGAGCCUGCGGGAUGUUUCUGUUUAGACACAGGGCCAUCCAAUUGUCAUUUUAUGACCCUAUAACGAGUACAACAUGUUUACAACUUCAAUCUCCCAAGUGAACUACAUGAAAUUACUAUAUAUUACGAGCCGGUUCGCCAAUUUUUGAACGUAAUUUUUGAACUGGUUACCGUGAACGGAAUGCAGACUUGCUCUUCACAUGCAGCCUCUUUGUUCAUAAGAUUUGAGCUUCCGAUUGAAUAUGGUUUUUACCGUACAAAGUCAAUACGUAUUUUAAGGAGUAACCUGGUGGAAAUAUCGAGGAGAAGAGGAAAGAAAAAGUAAAGAAAGGAAAAUAUGGAAUAUAUGGGGUACUUAACCUAACUUGAUCGUCUUAAGUAUCUCGGUUAUUCUUUAUGUUGGAGAAAAAUAUCAGAGGAAGAGAACAUUCGGUUCGAAAAUGCAAAUGUGAUGAUAGACAAAAAGAUUUUUCAAGGUCAACAUAUUGCACACCAUUGAAUUUAGUUUCUUAUGAGCUAUAGUUAUAAUGAAAAUAUGUACCUUGAAAUCUCGAAAAAAGUGACCUUGAAAAAUUUUUUUUCUCCCUUCGAACCGAAUAUUCUCUCUCCUUGAUACUUUCUCUUAUCAUAAGAAAUAAGAGAGAUAUUUAAAAUGGUCAAGUUAAGUGAAAUGCCCUGUGCAAUAGAAGAUCUAAUGCAUCCAUGUGCAAUAAUAUAUCGUACUAGAUUUAUGUUAUGUAAAUUUAUGUUUCCGUAAUCUAAUUUCGUUAUGGUAAUCUAAUUGUAAAUAGUUUAUGUAACAUUUUGUUGCCAUCUAUAACCGUGACUUUUUCGUUUAUGCUUUGUACCAGUAAUAUUUCCAAAAUAUGGUGUUUCUUAUGCCAAAACACAAUCUUCUGUUAAGUUCGUAGUAGGAUUAUAUCACACGGUUUUUCAUAAUGUAAUAAAUUAAAAAUCAGAAUCCAUUGAUAACGAACGUCUUAAAUAUCAAAUAAACAAUACUAUCAAAGCAUUGUUAAUAACGUUCUGUGAUAUAUUUAUAAAGAUUGCUAAUCUUUUGAUGGGACGUUUACCACAAAUUAUUAAAUUUAUAUAAUUAUACUGAAGAUAAACCAUAGUUAAUUUAUAGAAAUAAUAAGCUAAUUUACAUAAUGAGUAUGUUUUAAAUAACUUCAAUUUUAAGAAACAAUAAACACAACUUUUGACCAUCAUCUUAUGUAAUUAUUAAUAAUAUUAGUUUCAUUUAGUCUGUUAUUUUAUUUCACUAUAAUAAUAACAUUCUUUCUCUAUUUAUCAAUCGAUUUUGUUUAUUUCAUUAAAUAUGUUAUAUGUCAGAUCAUGCAAAUAUGGAAAUUAGUCUAAAUAAACAUUAACAAAGAGAUAGGAGAAACAUAUUUGAAUUUUCACGAUAAGAAAUAGAAAGUAAGAUAAGAUAAUGUAUGCUAGUUUGCAAAAGCAGAAGUACACGUAUUUUUAAAAUCGGAGAUAAUGAGAUCUACAUCAUGACAGGCAAUUGUGAAAUACCUUGCGCAUUUGAAAUGCAUACAUUAACUGUUAUCGCGACUCGGUUGCUUUAUGAUAAGAAAUUACCAUAUUUAAUAUCAUGUGUUGCACACUUUAUUCUCUAAUGCGGUAUCUUGAAGCAAAUAAUGGCAACUGCAGGAAGUGAUGAACAGAGUUUGAAUUAGUGCUUUCUGCUCAGAUAGUCUCUUUCUUCAAUUAUUAAUUAUAGUUAAUAUAAUUGCGAUUAUUUAAUUAGGCCAACCAAAUAGAAAUAUGUUGUCAAAUAAAUAUCUGUCAAAUAAAAUAAAUUCCUUUAUG